rnacentral:rRNA from 1 species
GACGAACGCUGGCGGCGUGCUUAACACAUGCAAGUCGAACGGAAAGGCCCUGCUUUUGUGGGGUGCUCGAGUGGCGAACGGGUGAGUAACACGUGAGUAACCUGCACUUGACUUUGGGAUAACUUCAGGAAACUGGGGCUAAUACCGGAUAGGAGCUCCUGCUGCAUGGUGGGGGUUGGAAAGUUUCGGCGGUUGGGGAUGGACUCGCGGCCUAUCAGCUUGUUGGUGGGGUAGUGGCUUACCAAGGCUUUGACGGGUAGCCGGCCUGAGAGGGUGACCGGCCACACUGGGACUGGGAUACGGCCCAGACUCCUACGGGAGGCAGCGGUGGGGAAUAUUGCACAAUGGGCGGAAGCCUGAUGCAGCAACGCCGCGUGCGGGAUGACGGCCUUCGGGUUGUAAUCCGCUUUCGCCUGUGACGAAGCGUGAGUGACGGUAAUGGGUAAAGAAGCACCGGCUAACUACGUG